GAUGCCACCUUACUUCGUUAUGCUGUGCUAUCAUCCAAGCUGAGCAUUCCCCAUGUAAUUAGAGUUUAAGCUGUUAGGCACACCAAAAUGCCAGAGUAGGUGACUGCAAGUGGCUCCCAGACCCUGUGUUGCAGGACUUCAGGUACGGGAAAGAGCCCGCAACUAACGACCAUGAAGGCACCUGCCUAUUCUCUCCUCAUCUGCCUGGUGGGAUAGGAAGGAGAAUCAAGGAAAAUACAUGCUAAAUGAGACAACCUCGGACUUCUUCC